UGUCAGCUCUGCUUUGCGUCGGCCUUGGGAGGCCACGGCGGAGGGUCGCGGUGCCGUGGAUCAGUUCUCGGCUCGGAAGACCAGAGGGAGGAUGGUGGUAACAGAGGUGACAGGGAAGGGGAUGAGGGGGAGAGGGGGCUCCGCACAGGGCUCGCUGGAGGACACGAGACAGACGGCCUCGUGGCGGGGCGGGGGGGGGGGCUGCACCCUGGCCUCCCACUCGCCGCCUGUAGCCUUGAUUGCUGGCUGGGGCUCAAGCCAUCCCCUGGGAAACCGGGGAAGCAUCCUGGGCUCCCGGGAGGAGUCGGGGUGAGUCACACACAGCGUGGCCUUGGGCCCAGUGCAUCCCAGGGCCCAGUGCCCAGCUGUCGGAGGGGCCCCGGAAGGCAGGCCCUGGCCCCUGCGUGCCUGGCUCCUCGCCUUCUCCCCUCGGCUGCCCCAGAUGGUGCCUGCCGCUCUUCCAGUAGCCAGCAGAGACAUAUUCUCUUUCUUUCUUUCUUUUUCUUUUUUCCUUUUUGGCUUCUUAAAGCAAAACAGUUUGUUUGUUUGCUUGCUAUAAAAAGAGCCGCCUCCCGGCCCCCUUCCCUCCCUCUCUCCCUCCCUCCCCUGGGCGCAGUCAGCAGCUUGCAGUGGCCGCCCCCACCCCGAGUCUUCAGCCAGCAUGCUCCUCCUGAGGCAGAUGUCUGCGGGGGAAUCUGUUGCCUGUCCCCAGGCCGCCCCGACAGAUGUACCAGCUUUAAUUGGGGGCCCGCGCGGCCUCCUCCGUGGGCCAAGGUCCGAGGCUCCGCUAGGCUCAUUUCCUGCUCCGAUACCCGUUCUCAGCCUUCUCGGCCUUCUCAGCCUCGGCGGGUGUCGUCCCCAGCCCUGGACAACGCGGGGUGCAGACUGUCCCGUCUCAGGCCGGCGCUCACGUCUCCCUGGCAACGUGCCUGCCGCGUUGGAUGUACUCUGACAGAAAGGAAACACAUGCGUCCCCUUGGCGGGGCCGUGGGAGCGGGGUAUGCUCUCCCCACCUGGAUCUCCUGGUCUGGGUCCAGCAGGCAGCAGCGUACUUCCCAGAGCUGGAGGUGGCCGGGGCCUUGGGCUGGAGCUGUGAGAACUUUGCAUCUCAAGGGCGGCCCUGGGAAAACGCGUCCCUGUGGCCAACACUGCCGUUGGUGGUGGGCUGGUGACAUGAACCGUGGUGGCCUUCUUCCUCCACCGCAGUGGGUGCGGGCGGGGGGCCGGGGAGGAACGGGGAGACUGGGUCUCGGGGGAGCAGAGAGAUCGGCCCUGGAGUUUGGGGGCAUGUGUGGGGCCCCAAGUGGACAAGUCAUCGCAUAUGGAGAUGUGGCUCCGAGCCCGGGGGUUGGGAGGUCUGCAGACUCCCAUGUGGGAGUGCUCGGCCUCCCACCAGCUCUCAGAAGCGUGCAGGGGUGGCCCAGGCAGUGCAGAUAG
rnacentral:lncRNA from 12 species